ACAUUGUUGCACCAGCAGGAGAUUAUCAACGACAUGCCCAUGGCCACCGACUUCAAGUCCUGCUGGCCAGAAAUGUUGGAUAUUGGAGAGAUCCAUGCAGAGUUGACUCGUCACUGCAGUUAAAGUUUCUUUCCCAGCUGGACCUCCACUGCGAUGACCUGGUGAAAAUCUUCCAGAAGAGGGGAGGGCACACCGCAAGAAAACUGCAGUCAGUGCAGGAGAUCAUCAGCGACAUGCCCAUGGCCACCGACUUCAAGUCCUGCUGGCCAGAAAUGUUGGAUAUUGGAGAGAUCCAUGCAGAGUUGACGCGUCACCACUGCCACUGCAGUUAAAGUUUCUUAAUCUUCCAGAAGAGGGGAGAGCAAACCGCAAGAAAACUGCAGUCAUU